GUGCUCACUUCAACAGCACAUACACUAAAAUUCAAAAAAUACAGAGAAGAUUAGCAUGGCCCCUGUGCAAGGAUGACAAGCCAAUUCAUGAAGUGUUCCAUAGUUUU
ensembl:snRNA U6 U6 spliceosomal RNA